UACGAAGGGGGCUAGCGUUGCUCGGAAUCACUGGGCGUAAAGCGCACGUAGGCGGAUCUUUAAGUCAGGGGUGAAAUCCUGGAGCUCAACUCCAGAACUGCCUUUGAUACUGAGAAGCUUGAGUCCGGGAGAGGUGAGUGGAACUGCGUGUGUAGAGGUGAAAUUCGUAGAUAUUCGCAAGAACACCAGUGGCGAAGGCGGCUCACUGGCCCGGUACUGACGCUGAGGUGCGAAAGCGUGGGGAGCAAACAGG
rnacentral:rRNA from 1 species